AUACUUACCUGGCAGGGAAGAUGCCAUGAUCAUGAAGGUGGUUUUCCAAGGGCAAAGCUUAUCCAUUGUACUCUGGAUGUGCUGAUCCCUGCAAUUUCCCCAAAUGUGGGAAACUCAACUGCAUAAUUUGUGGUAUUGGGGGACUGCAUUUGCGCUCUCCCCUA